ncrna:Vibrio fluvialis PG41 gltS RNA
UAUCACUAAGGAUUGUUUUUCUCACAAAAUUUUUCCUGUGAGAGACGGAAAGGAAGCGAACCCGCCACCAUUGGCAGGUUUAGAUUCAUAACAAUAAAGGACGGG